AUUGAACGCUGGCGGCAUGCCUUACACAUGCAAGUCGAACGGCAGCACGGGUGCCUGCACCUGGUGGCGAGUGGCGAACGGGUGAGUAAUACAUCGGAACAUGUCCUGUAGUGGGGGAUAGCCCGGCGAAAGCCGGAUUAAUACCGCAUACGAUCCACGGAUGAAAGCGGGGGACCUUCGGGCCUCGCGCUAUAGGGUUGGCCGAUGGCUGAUUAGCUAGUUGGUGGGGUAAAGGCCUACCAAGGCGACGAUCAGUAGCUGGUCUGAGAGGACGACCAGCCACACUGGGACUGAGACACGGCCCAGACUCCUACGGGAGGCAGCAGUGGGGAAUUUUGGACAAUGGGCGAAAGCCUGAUCCAGCAAUGCCGCGUGUGUGAAGAAGGCCUUCGGGUUGUAAAGCACCUUUGUCCGGAAAGAAAUCCUUGACUCUAAUACAGUCGGGGGAUGACGGUACCGGAAGAAUAAGCACCGGCUAACUACGUG
rnacentral:rRNA from 1 species